CCCGGUCCAGCACCCCUGGCCUUUAGUGCCUGCUCUUGUCUUCUGAAGGCUGCUGGGUCCUGCCUCCAGUCUCACUGCUUGCUUCUCUCAGGCCUUGCAGCCACUGUGGUGAGUUCCAGAGAGCUCGAGGAAAGUACAGGAUGGCCAAGGGUCGCUCCGUAACAGAAACCAGGCUGUUGUGGAGCAAGGGCAUUUGAAUAAAUACCGCAGUAACUGGUUUUGGACGGUAGUGCUUUGGAAUACAGGUGGAGAAAAGUUUGUCUGUUUAAUUAAAAGAGCUAUAGUGACUGUGUCCCUACAACCAAAGCAGAAAGAACUGAUGGGGAAAAAAAAAGAUGGAAAAGAAAGUUUGUAAAAAUCACCUUGGACAGAAGCUUCUUCCUUCCCUUUGGUUUAUAAACGUGGCUGAAAAUGAAUUGUAAGUGUAGUUUCCUCUGCGUGAUACCUCAGUAGCUUCCCAGCAAAAAAUAACACCAUAAGCAAUUUCUAAAAUGAACUCUUGCCUGUGGACUCGGACAUACCAGUCAUGUCUAGCUUGGUUUUGCUAUUUUAUCUUCUGUGGCACAGUCUGACAAGGAGUUUUAGCCCCUUUGAGCAACUUUUCUGACCUCUGUACUACCCUGGGUUGAGAACUCAAGGCUUCAGAGCACUGUUCGCGGCUCCCAGAGCUGACCAGCUGGUGUUUGGGCUGCGUGAAAGCUGCUGGGUGCUCCGGAUGGCAGAGGGAGGUUGUGGCUUAGCAGGGGCUGCGGCUGCAGCCUGGGGCUGUUCCGUGUGCCCAGCUGGGUGCUAUCAGCUGCGGCUGCUCACCACUCCUGCACUGCUCUGACAAUUGCUCCUGCCUUCAUCUCAGGUGUGGACAUGUAGCUCCUGGCCAUGAAAGAAAGGCAUUUGCAUGAUGCAUUUGAAAUGCUGGUCUCUCCUCCCUCCCAGGGGCUCAGCCUUUCAGUCUCAAAUGCUGCGAAUGGCUGAUUGCCUCUGCUCUUCAAGGAGCCUCACUGCAGCUGUCGGGUGAGGACAUCGUUGACGUUUCUGUUUAGGAACAUCCCAGCUCAGCUUAUGCUUUGCAUCACUUGAUUCAGAUCAGGUUAAAUGCUGUAAAGAAAUCCAGGGGAAAUGGAUGCCUUUCCCAUCUGGGCGCAGAACCCUGGCAUCGGUGCUGCUUUAUAAAGCUCAAAUGACAUUUUAUUCUGCUCACACUGGACAGAUGCUUCCCUUAAUUCCAAGCUGCAGUCUUCUGCUUUGUUGAAAAGGAUUUUUAGAUGUAAGGCUGGGUCAGUUCAGGAGUUUCUGAGAACCUUGGAGAGCAGCUGCGAACCUGAAGAGGGCAGCGUGUGCGUGGAGAACCCCCAGCGCCUGUUCCCUGCCUGGAGCCAGCACCCGCAGCCAGGAGUGCGGUACCUUGGGGGCUGGGGGCUCCUCAGUCACAAAACGGCGGGGGAGCCCAGACAAGUUUUUGAAUUACAAGCUUUGGAAAGUACCGGGAAUGGUAACUUCUUUGUAUUCAGGGUUUCUGCAGGUGCUGUACGGGGCCUAACCAGUUACCUUUAUGCACAGUUAGAAGAAUGGUAAUUUUGCCAUGUUUGAAAUCUGCGUGAUACAAAACUACCGCAGUACUUCUAGCAACAGAGAGGCAGGUUUGGCCCCUUCAACCCCCUCCCCCUCCCAGUUUCCCUUAAUUUCUUCAGCUGAUUGCUUUUCCUGUUACUAGACCAGCCACACCACUUGACUGAAAACCCCGCUCCAUGCCCCAGCCAGGCUUGCAUUGCAUUUAUCUCAUUAACUCAAGUUCCUUCUGUGCCUGGAGGGCCAGGGCUCUCCUGUCCCAGCUGAAAUCCCUCAAGAGCACAGCACGAGUUCAGGCCAGAGCAAAGCCGCGCCACUGAGGAGUGUAAGUGAAGUGUUUGCUCUGCGGAUGUGUGUAGGCUCAGAUUUUCUCCUGUUGUGGCCUGUGGUGUCAUUGCAGCACAAUGCUCAACGGGUUCCUGUGCCUCCCAGCUCUGAGCCUGAAGUGGCUGCAUGCUGUCUGCAGCAAAGUGAGGAGAGGAACCAGCCCUCCUAACAGCACAGGAAAUCAGUCUGAAUAGAAGAUUACCACAGAGCUCUCCUCUCCCCCCUGCCCUGCUUGGACAUACUUUGAACUUUGACCACUGUCUCACUUUGAAUCCCAGUCAAAACCAGUACGUCUGGAAAGCCACGUGGUGGGGGAGAGGCAAGUGAAUGGAGCUGGUGUUUUCAUACUCGGAACUCAGAGCUGUAGGUCUUGGACUGCCCUUUGUCUGUGUAAAACGUGCCAUAUCCGUCACUUCUAUCACGUCUUCCCUCACCGCCCAGCAAUGGCAGUGACCUCAGCUCCGAGGAGAGGCAGGCGCUGGUGGGGGGCCCUCAGCUCCCCCUCAGCCCCCCUCAGGUCUCGGUGCACCACGCGUGCAUCGCUGCGUCUGGGCGAGGGCCUCCUCAAAAAGCUGCCUCACAGAUUUUUUUUUUUUUUCCUGCAAUUCUGUAGAGAAUUGAAGAGUUUUGCUGACAAUUUUUACUGGUAGGAAGAGCCUGCACUUCUGCGAUCUCAAGUCUUCUCUUAAAAAGUAUUUGCGAUUUUAUUUCUGCCUUUUGAGCUUUGUGAGAGGCUGGGGGGCUCUGCGCCCGCUGGCACCGGGGAGCUGCCACCUCACCCACCCCUCUCCUUGCUGGGGCAGCGAGCAGCCGGGCUGGAAGGUGCCUGUGACUGCGGGUCAGGGUUGCCCGCUUAGUCCCUGCCACCAGCUGCUGGGGACCUUCAUGUUCCUUGGGGGUGUCCAGGGCCCGGGACACAGCUCCUGGCUUUGUGACUUGGACAAGAUUGCUGUUUCGGUCACAAGAGGCACAUUAUGGCUGGGGAUGUACCAAAAUGUUUUUUCCAGAUCAGCUGUUGUGAAGUAAACUUGAAAAUAUAGUGGGACCUGGAA